CCUACGGGAGGCAGCAGUGAGGAAUAUUGGUCAAUGGACGCAAGUCUGAACCAGCCAUGCCGCGUGCAGGAAGACGGCUCUAUGAGUUGUAAACUGCUUUUGUACGAGGGUAAACGCAGAUACGCGUAUCUUUCUGAAAGUAUCGUACGAAUACGGAUCGGCUAACUCCGUGCCAGCAGCCGCGGUAAUCCGGAGGAUUCAAGCGUUAUCCGGAUUUAUUGGGUUUAAAGGGUGCGUAGGCGGUCGGAUAAGUUAGGGGUGAAAUCCUGAGGCUCAACUUCGGAAUUGCCUCUGAUACUGUUCGGCUAGAGAGUAGUUGCGGUAGGCGGAAUGUAUGGUGUAGCGGUGAAAUGCUUAGAGAUCAUACAGAACACCGAUUGCGAAGGCAGCUUACCAAGCUACUUCUGACGUUGAGGCACGAAAGCGUGGGGAGCAAACAGGAUUAGAUACCCGUGUAGUC
rnacentral:rRNA from 1 species